UGCCAGCCGCCGCGGUAAGACGGAGGAUGCAAGCGUUAUUCGGAAUCACUGGGCUUAAAGAGUGCGUAGGCGGCUUGGUAGGUUGGGUGUGAAAUCCCACAGCUCAACUGUGGAACUGCGCUCAAAACCACCAAGCUUGAGGAAGGCAGAGGUGAGCGGAACUGAUGGUGGAGCGGUGAAAUGCGUUGAUAUCAUCAGGAACACCGGUGGCGAAGGCGGCUCACUGGGCCUUUUCUGACGCUGAGGCACGAAAGCUAGGGUAGCGAACAGGAUUAGAUA
rnacentral:rRNA from 1 species